UACGGAGGGGGCUAGCGUUGUUCGGAAUUACUGGGCGUAAAGCGUGCGCAGGCGGUUGUGCAAGACCGCUGUGAAAUCCCCGGGCUUAACCUGGGAAUGGCAUUGGUGACUGCACGGCUAGAGUGUGUCAGAGGGGGGUAGAAUUCCACGUGUAGCAGUGAAAUGCGUAGAGAUGUGGAGGAAUACCGAUGGCGAAGGCAGCCCCCUGGGAUAACACUGACGCUCAUGCACGAAAGCGUGGGGAGCAAACAGG
rnacentral:rRNA from 1 species